GCGAUCGUGGCGAAAUUGGCAGACGCGCAUGCUUCAGGAGCAUGUGGGGUAACACCCGUGCUGGUUCAACUCCAGUCGGUCGCA
rnacentral:tRNA from 1 species